GCGGGAAUAGCUUAGUGGUAGAGCACAACCUUGCCAAGGUUGGGGUCGCGAGUUAGAGCCUCGUUUCCCGCU
rnacentral:tRNA from 1 species